rnacentral:rRNA from 1 species
GAACGCUGGCGGCGGCCUAACAAUGCAAGUCGAACGGUAACAUUUCUAGCUUGCUAGAAGAUGACGAGUGGCGGACGGGUGAGUAAUGCUUGGGAACUUGCCUUUGCGAGGGGGAUAACAGUUGGAAACGACUGCUAAUACCGCAUAAUGUCUUCGGACCAAACGGGGCUUCGGCUCCGGCGCAGAGAGAGGCCCAAGUGAGAUUAGCUAGUUGGUGAGGUAAAGGCUCACCAAGGCAACGAUCUCUAGCUGUUCUGAGAGGAAGAUCAGCCACACUGGGACUGAGACACGGCCCAGACUCCUACGGGAGGCAGCAGUGGGGAAUAUUGCACAAUGGGGGAAACCCUGAUGCAGCCAUGCCGCGUGUGUGAAGAAGGCCUUCGGGUUGUAAAGCACUUUCAGUUGUGAGGAAAAGUUAGUAGUUAAUACCUGCUAGCCGUGACGUUAACAACAGAAGAAGCACCGGCUAACUCCGUGCCAGCAGCCGCGGUAAUACGAGGGUGCGAGCGUUAAUCGGAAUUACUGGGCGUAAAGCGCACGCAGGCGGUUUGUUAAGCUAGAUGUGAAAGCCCCGGGCUCAACCUGGGAUGGUCAUUUA